rnacentral:rRNA from 1 species
UACAGAGGUCCCAAGCGUUGUUCGGAUUUACUGGGCGUAAAGGGUGCGUAGGCGGCGCGGUAAGUCGGGUGUGAAAUCUCGGGGCUUAACUCCGAAACUGCAUUCGAUACUACCGUGCUUGAGGACUGGAGAGGAGACUGGAAUUUACGGUGUAGCGGUGAAAUGCGUAGAUAUCGUAAGGAAGACCAGUGGCGAAGGCGGGUCUCUGGACAGUUCCUGACGCUGAGGCACGAAGGCCAGGGGAGCAAACGGG